rnacentral:tRNA from 1 species
GCAGGAAUGGUGGAAUUGGUAGACACCUCAGAUUUAAGCUCUGAUGUUCAUUAGAACGUGUGGGUUCAAGUCCCACUUCCUGUA